GUGCUCACUUUGGCAGCACAUAUACUGAAAUUGGAAUGAUACAGAGAUUAGCAUGGCCCCUGUGCAGGGAUGAUAUUCAAAUUUGUGAAGCAUUUCAUAUUUUU